AAAAACCUGGUAUUGCAUUGAUAAAUAGUGAAGAAUACAUCAUACAUCACAUUGGCUGUACAAUGAGAAGGGGUAAAAGAAGGAAAGUAAAUGAAACCCCUAGGAGAGGGGGUUCUGCUGUGGUCUGUUCUGUCCCUUGGACUGGCUCUCUAUUUAUAGCUGCUGAAGUGGGCUUUGGGCUUUCGUAGGCGCGCUUAGCGCGACACCCCCUCGCUUAGCACGUGUAGAUCGCGCGCUUAGCGCGCAUGUUGCAGGCUUAGCGCGUGCUUCUGUUAGAUCGAGGGCUUAGCGCGCGCUUCUGUUGGAUCAUGGGCUUAGCGCGUGACGCGCGCUCAGCGCGAGUAUUGGACUGAGCCUUUUUGCUUGUUACACCUCCAGUUUUUAUAUCUGCAGCCAAAAUUCAACAAAACAUCAAUUCUUUAAUAUUUAAGCGCAAAUAACUGCUAAAUAAUUAUUUUUAAAGACAAUUUUGCCUUAUUUUCUAUCAUCAAAAUACAAUUAUUUAGCAGUUAUCAUGGUGCUAUGCUUUUUCUUGUUACAGAGUCUUACACCUUAUGAAUUUGUUGAAAGUAUGAAGAAGAAGGGCAUCCGUGUUCCAGGAAUAGGGCACAGGUAGUGUAUACUGUGUGUUCAUAUACUAAUUUAUUACUAUUUUGUUUUUGUUGUUGUUUCUUUUAAAAUCUAACUGUAUGAAGCUUGGUUUUGUUCUGUAAAUUAGAAUCAAGAAUAGGGAUAACAAAGAUAAGAGAGUCGAGCUGCUACAGAAGUUUGCACGCACGCAUUUUCCUUCUGUGAAAUACAUGGAGUAUGCUGUUGAAGUUGAAAACUACACCCUCACCAAGGCAAAUAACCUAGUUCUAAACGUAGAUGGUGCAAUCGGGUCACUUUUCUUGGAUCUUCUUGCUGGUAGCGGAAUGUUCACCAAACAAGAGGUUGAUGAAAUUGUGGAGAUUGGCUAUCUGAAUGGGCUUUUUGUUUUGGCACGCUCCAUUGGUCUGAUUGGGUGAGUUUCAUUUUGAUUUUAUAAAUUUGUCAGUAAGAGCAUUUCUUUUUCUUUUUUAGUAAAUUACGGAUAUCAUUUUUGGGUGUAUAUAAACACAAAUUACAACCAUUCUGUGUCAAAACUCGUAACUUCAUUGGAUUUUGAUAUCUCUAAAGUGAUUAGAUGUGUUGGGCGAAUCAAUUGGACUCACGAUCUCCACCUCCACAAGCACAAAGGAAAAAAUACAUACACAAUAUUUGGGACUUGUACUAAUUCACCGUUCUUUAAUUAAUAUUUUCAGGCAUACCUUUGACCAGAAGAGGUUGAAACAACCACUCUACCGCCACCCAUGGGAGG
rnacentral:lncRNA from 1 species